CUCCCUGGAAUCACGUCCACGGCCACUCCAUCGCCCCCAGCACGGGCGCGCGUGAUCCAGCGGCAGCGAGCCUCUGAUGGGGGGUUUCAGGUGUUCCCUGCGACUGUACUAUGCCCAGUUUAUGUAUUGUUUCUAAGUGGCUUUCUUUUCUGAAGUUCAGACGUAUUUGCAGGUGCAAAAAAGUUGGAUGUAGUGAUAUGUUGGUUUUCACAGGUACUCCAAAUAUUGGGAAAAAAGAGUUUUCUUCUCCCAAAUGCAUCAAAGCCGUGAAGUGCUAAUUCUUCUUGUGUGCUUCUAUAGAGCCUUGUGUUUCAGUCACCACCAUGACGAACCAGCUCGUCCUAUUUUGCAGAAGCAAGUCGCACGAUAGUUUUUAGCUGGGAUGCAGUUCAGAGGUAAUACGGAAUCAAGGUUCAGUGAGAUUUUUUUAGCACAUUCAGAGAGCUUUUUCAGUGCACUGCAGCCAAAUCCGUUCUGGAGGCCACACUGCUGACGUUUGGUUUUGAUUUUAUUUUACAAACGAAGUUGCUAGCAGUAGUAGAUCUUGGGAUUUGGGCACACAAGGAUAAGAUAUAUAAAUAAGUCGCCCUAAUGAGUUGGAGAUUGCAUGUUCGUUGCUCAGAAGGAUAAGAUCCUUUUGGUUUUAGCUAGGUUGUAGGGGACUGGGAACAUUGACGAAGGACUUCUACAUGGCGAUGUCCUGAAAGAAGGCGAACUCGUGCUCCAUCCUCGUCUACGUUUGCAACUGCCGCUCGAGGGACAGUACAGACCACCCCUGCGGCCCUCUGGUCUACGCAUCAUGUGCUACUGCUUGUGCCUGCUCGUUGCCUCCACCUCAGGGACGAAGGAAAUUUUAGCUGGUCAAGUUCAGCUCCGUGCCGGAUAAAAGGUCAUCUUGGAUGUGUGCCUGCUCGCUCCCUCCACCGUUUGAGCAUUUCUCUGAACUUUUUUCAAUGUAUGCACUACUAAAAUUUUAGUCCAGGCUUUGUACUUUAACUAAGUUCGGUACUGAAUUUUAGAGAGGUUGAGAAAAAUGAAGUUCUACUAUUUUAGUUUAGCCGGUCAAGUUCUUGACGAGGGGUGGUUGUGGCCUGUGGCCACCUGCCCUAUUUUGUUGUUUCUGCUGUAGGCUGCAGCACCUAGCGUCAUCACCCCCACUGGGCCCAUAGUUUGUGCCAAUCCCUGCCGCAAGCUUUCCCCCUGCUAUUGCCACACGAAACGCUCGCUUCUGCAAUUUAUUACAAGGUUGAACAUUGUUGGCCAGUGUUGAGAUAACCGAAUGAGAGAAAUUGUUCUAUAACUGAAGUAGUACUUCAGGGUUCAGAAAACUGAAUGUUUAUUUGAUAACCUCGGUGUUGUAAAAAGAUAUUCAGACGUUCAAAGACAGCUUCCAUAGAAGUUCAAAAUCAAUAACGUUAUGAAGUACAGUAACUAUUAAAAAGGAUUAGUACAUUUGUGCAUGCGUGCGUACUGGGUGUGAUGACUUGUGUGUGUGCGCUCGUGUGUUUGUGUGUACGCGACUUGUGUAGUGUGUGUCCUCUGGUGUGUACUCCCGUCUGUGUGGGUGCUUUGCUUCUAUAAAAACAAUUUGACACUAUGGCAAAUUGAAACAGUGCUAGAAAAUAA
rnacentral:lncRNA from 1 species